UACGUAGGGUGCGAGCGUUAAUCGGAAUUACUGGGCGUAAAGCGUGCGCAGGCGGUUCGACAAGUCCGAUGUGAAAGCCCCGGGCUCAACCUGGGAAUGGCAUUGGAAACUGGCGAGCUUGAGUGUGGCAGAGGGGGGUGGAAUUCCGCGUGUAGCAGUGAAAUGCGUAGAGAUGCGGAGGAACACCGAUGGCGAAGGCAGCCCCCUGGGCUGACACUGACGCUCAGGCACGAAAGCGUGGGUAGCAAACAGG
rnacentral:rRNA from 1 species